CACAGACGGUCUUUAGGAGCGACUCGUGGGCGUUAAGACUGGGCUCAGUUUGUGGCGCGCCUAGUGAUGGGAUGGCGCUGUGCAGGACGCCGACACAAAAAGAUGAAGCGUUCAACCCGUGCUGUCUGAACUCACAGUGUAGUGGGCGAGAUAGACGGGAGAAUCGGUAGGGUGGGAGAUGCCGGAAAGGCUUUCCGUGAGACUGGAUAAGAAAUCAAAAAUCUGGUGAAAUUGGCGGCAGGAGGGAGUUAAGGACAUUCCAGGCAGAGGCAAGUUGGUCCUUGCUGGCUGAUCCAGCUUCCCCGUCAGCAUAUGGUGAGCAGUUCGGUGAGAGGACCACACUUCCAAUACUGGCAGAUGAAGCCAGAUACUCCUCUAUGAAGUUAAAUGACUGGUUCAGUGUUACACUGCUAGUGAGCGACAGAGAUGGAAUUUGAAUGCACACCUGUCUGACUCCACCUCACGUGUUCUUUCCACAUGGCCAGCAAGCUCUGCUGUCCCACCUCGCACUUCUGGGAGGUGGCUACUCCCUCUUUCCACCCCUUUUUCUGGAUCUUGACAAGGGAUUCUGCCCUGCCCCAGCUGUCAAAGCCUGCAGCAGCUGCCAAAAAACCUCAACACAGGCAUACUUUGAACCUACAUCAUGUGUUGGUGUCACAGAUGCUGUACCAGGCAUUUGACUCCUUGAUCUAAAGCCAGGAUUCCUGGCCAACAUGGCGAAACCCUGUCUCUACUAAAAAUAACAAAAAUUAGCUGGGCAUGGUGGUAGGUGCCUGUAAUCCCAGCUACUUGGGAGGCUGAGGCAGGAGAAUUACUUGAACCCAGGAAGCGAAGGCUGCAGUGAGCAGAGAUGGUGCCUCUGCACUACAGCCUGGGCUAUGGAGUAAGACUCUGUCUCAAAAAAA
rnacentral:antisense_RNA from 1 species